GGGAUUGCCUCAGUAACGGCGAGUGAAGCGGCAUCAGCUCAAAUUUGAAAUCUGGCCCCGUCGGGGUCCGAAUUGUAAUUUGUAGAGAGUGCUUCGGGUGAGGCCCCGGUCUAAGUCCAUUGGAACAUGGUGUCAUAGAGGGUGAGAAUCCCGUAUGCGACCGUGGCUCGAGCCCAUGUGAAGCCUCUUCGACGAGUCGAGUUGUUUGGGAAUGCAGCUCAAAAUGGGUGGUAAAUUUCAUCUAAAGCUAAAUACUGGCUGGAGACCGAUAGCGCACAAGUAGAGUGAUCGAAAGAUGAAAAGCACUUUGGAAAGAGAGUCAAAAAGUACGUGAAAUUGUUGAAAGGGAAGCGCUUGCAACCAGACCUGCCCGUAGGCGAUCAACCGCUGUUCUCAGCGGUGCACUCGCUCUGCGAUCAGGCCAGCAUCGGUCUCGGCGGUCGGAUAAAGGCCUUGGGAAUGUAGCUUCCCCUCGGGGGAGUCUUAUAGCCCUCGGUGCAAUGCGGCCAGCCGGGACCGAGGACCGCGCUUCGGCUAGGAUGCUGGCGUAAUGGUUGU
rnacentral:rRNA from 1 species